UGAAGAGUGAGACUCAAACUGCGCCCACUGAGUUUAAAAAGAGGUUUCAGAGCGACAGCAGCAGAACCACAGCAGCAGACAGCGUUCAGAAAGGAACUCUGUCUGACGCCUACAGACAGUCGUCAUACGGUGCAACGUUUACUCCAGUUUCAUCAUGAGGACCUUUGUGAAGGCGCUGGCUCUGGUGGCUCUGUUUCUCUGCCUCCACUCGGUUCUGCUCACCGAAGCACAGAGUAUUGUGACCACACCGCCUGACACAUCAGACCCACCGAGACCUAGAACCACCCCACAGAGAACCACCCCACCACCAAAGAGAACCCCAUGGCCCACCAUCCCAGUAGGCGUGAAGGCGGAGGGGGCGAUGCUCGAGAUCAAGGGGAUGUUUGGGAUAAAGGGGGUGCGUUGGAUGAAGGGGGAGCCCGUGUUCAACAGCGCUGAGCGAGUUGUGCCGCUCAGUCUCCUGCUCCUGCCGCUGCUCCUGCCGCUGCUCCUGCCGCUGCUGGGCUCUGCUCUCACGUCCUCUGCUAACCCACACACAUGACCUAAUGUUCUUCAAUAAUUCAUUCUGAUGAAAGAACCGGCUGAAGGGCCAGUUCUGCCAAUGUCAACAGAAAACUG
rnacentral:lncRNA from 1 species